CACAGACACAUCUAGAAGUUGGAUUCCUUUACCAUCUCUUCAUUCUUACUCUGGGCAGUCCGCAGCGGGAAAGGUGAACGAGCACGGCAUCAAAGAUUACACACAAAGGAUCGUAAAUUGUACAACUCCUAUAAACUUUGAUAGAUUCCAAUUUUCGAACCACGUGUAGCACUUUAAACAUUAUUAACACUACAUUUGGGUUUAGUCAGUGCAUUUCUCUUCUCUUUCACUACUCUUUGUUCCAUGCUCUCUGCAAUUUUGCAUCGCUACUCCCUGGUUGGAAGUGUCACUUCUCUGUUUGUUCAACAGAAUGUCCACAAACAAAGAUGUUACGGCACGUAGAGCUCAAGAGAAUAAGGAACAACGACGCGCUAAUUGAAAUUUGAGACGUCGCACCAGAUAUGUACAAAUGCACACAAACAGUUCGUGAUGAAAGAUCAUUUUGUAGUGAAAAAUAACGAGAAGGCCUAUAUCGAUACGCUCAAUGGACAUGUCUCUCUGGAUAAUUUGAAGGAGGCAUUUCUUUUGCAUUAAUGAUUCCUAAUAACAAGCUUUAGCUUCUUGAUUUUUUUGCAGGAUUCAUUGUUGGUGGACAAUAACGGUAACAAGAUGUCCUUUAAUUGUAAUUAAAAAGAAAUUCAAAUUAAUAUUUUAACUAAAUGUCUUUGAUUAAGAAAUGUGCGUAAUGGAUGAGAAAAAGAGUUAAAAGCGACAAAAUAGAAGAAAAAACUUAUGGAAGUGGUCCGUGUUCUUUUUUCCAACAAUUGCUUGAUUUGAUUAAGUUGUAGCGUACUUUUUGUUGUUUUGUUAAUGGAUCAUAUAUCUUUUUCAGUGUUAAUUAAUGGGUAAACAUUAGAAUUGAUAUUUUUUAGACUUGAAUGGAGAAAAAAGUGUGAAAUCGAGGGGACGUCCGGGGCACCAAUACGAACACCAUAUGUGCAUCCAAAUUUGAUUCCCUGAAAACUUAAUAUUCAUGGAAUGGUACAUUCAUAUUAUUUUAUUGACAUUUUGAUAUUAUGUUAAGAAUAAGAUAUUUGUGUAAGCCAUGAUAUUUUAAUACUGUGUUCGCAGGAUUUAUGAAGGCACAUUUUAAUUCACCAUACAAGAAACUUCACUUUGACAUCAUCCUGAAGCUAAGGUUAUUUAUUUCAUCAUGAAGAAAGAUAUGAAGUCAAUAAAACCUUCUAAAUAGAAAUAAUGCUCUAAUUUGACCAGUUUUUGCAGUCAAAAGCAUUUAAAAGUCAGCAAAUUGUUCAAUUUGUUUUCCUUUCCAUGUUCCUUUUAAGGUAUCGGUUUACCUAUUCGAAAAUGUUUAAUAUUGCGCUGCUUUCUUGCCGGAAGCUUCUAAUGGGAGCUGCAUUUGGAGGAAAAGAUGCAGAAAGGAUGACUAAAAUGAAAUAGAAGUUCAAGUAAGGCAGCGUUAAUGUCGAAGGAUCACUUUUAGUGUUCUUGUCAAUUAUUUAACUCAAUGCAUCUGUCUAAAGUUGACAGGAGAAGAAGUUUUGAUUCAAAAGAUACCCAUCUAUACGUUUCUGGAGCUAAAGCAUUGAACAACAUAAAGGCUUCUCAUUAUAAUUUCACUCCUACUUUGGGACAUAUAAAAGAAAAAGGAAGUUUAUAUAACAAACCCUUGCUCCCUUUACUAUUUUAGAAAGUAUUAAUGUUUUGCUUGUCUAUUUCCCCGUCUCAGUUGGCAAGGCCAUCUUUGCUAUACUCCAAGACAGAGGCAGAGUUGAAUUAUCAUGUGCUACAGUAUUUCAUCAUGGUAUGAUCUUGACCUUACAUAUCCUGAAAGCUUCUUUCAGUAUGUGCUUUUAUCUCAUGUAUUCAGUGAAUAUAGUGAUGUAGUUAAUUGAUACUUCUCCAAGCUACAUAUCCUUAAGCUUCCUCUCUAAUUGUAACACCCCGUAUUUUAGAACUAAGUUUAGACUCAUGUCAAUAGAUCUUUAGUGGAAAAACUGAAGGUUUGAACGUUUUGCGAAAAUGGUUGAUAGGCCUACUUCGGGCAGCCAUAAAUCCUUGAUUAGUUGGGAAUUUGGGAAAGUACCCUUAAUGAAAGUUGUAGUAUGUAGAAAUACCUUUCUAACGAUAUAUAGACCAGGCCAAUGAGAGAUCGGAGAAAGGAGAUAUUAUCGUCUCAAUAUGGCUAAUAGUAAGACACUUAAAAUUCUAUAGAAUCGGCUAAGUUUUCGAUACGUUUGCCUUACGGUCAAAUUUCGUGAAAAUACGUUGGGCAUUUGAGAAAACUUAAAACAUGAAAGUUGUAGCUCUUUGAAAUAGAUUUCCAGCGGUAUAUUGUGGAGCCCAAAAAGAGCUCUGUACAAGAAGUUAUGACUAUUUUACCGAACACUGCAUAGAACCGACACACGUCGUUUUUCAGGGCCCGUGCGAUGGCCUCGCGUCGCGGGCCGAUCGCACAAAAACACCCUCUCUGAGUAUCAACCUGCAGAAUGUUGCGCGAUGCACGUGCGUCGCGGACCCAUCGCAUAACAUGCCGGGUUUCUGGUCAAAAGUUGGGAUUUCGCGUUUUAAGUUAUAUUUAAGCGUGGGGUUUAUUUUCCUAACACCCCUAGUCACGAAAAAUUAUCCUAAAGUCAGAGAGAACAAGUCCCAAGCCUCAAGAACCCUACAAGGUAAGUUUUAUCAUGAUUCUAGAUUGAAUUCAAGUCCCUAAUCUCUUUCUAACUUGAGUAAACCCUUCUAAUCAAUAGAGUUGUGAGUGGAACAUUAUUGUUGGGCGUGGAAACCCUAGAAUCAAGAGGAUUGAACGUCAAAAAGGUAAUGUUUUCUACACUCUAAUCAUUCAUAAUAGUGAAUUGAUGAGUUCUUGGGAGAAUAGUAAAUGGGUUUAGUAAAGAGAAUUACACGAACUAUAGUAGGGUUUUGAAUUGUUGACUUGAGGUUGUUAUAAUGAUAUGGGUGAUGGAGAAUGAUGUUAAUUACAUCUAAUUGAGAUUGUAGAAGCACCUAGAAGUAAUAGAAUGAGAAUUGGGUGAAGAAACACCAUUAAUGGAGAUUGUGGAGCUUUAUGCCCACUAAGUGUUUGAUAAAAUGCUUAGAUAACCAAAGCAUGAAUAUUAUUGCUAAUAUAAAAUCCCUUUGACUUGUAUUGAUAUAGAUCAAAGUUGAAAGGGUUGACGAACAUUGUAUUACGCUCAAAGGCUGGAAUUAAGGUAACAACAUAUAGGUUGACGAUCCAGCUACUCAGGAGUGUUCGUAUCAGCUACUGUGGUGAGCCCCAGUUUCCUUCGGGGCGAUAUCAGUCAUGCAGUUCUCACAACUUUCUAGACAAUUACCUUUUUGUAUUCAUUAGAGGCUUUAUAGACACAGUUCAGACAGUCAGCUAUUUGUUAUGUUAGCCUUGUAGACAGUUAUACUUAGUCGUUCAGUUGUUUUGGUUUGGCCAUGUUGGGUACUUUCAGAUAUGUUCAGAUUGUCUAAGUAUUAUGAUAUUUCAGUCAGACGUUUAGUUAA